rnacentral:rRNA from 1 species
AGAGUUUGAUCCUGGCUCAGGAUGAACGCUGGCGGCGUGCUUAACACAUGCAAGUCGAACGAAGCACUCUAUUUGAUUUUCUUCGGAAAUGAAGAUUUUGUGACUGAGUGGCGGACGGGUGAGUAACGCGUGGGUAACCUGCCUCAUACAGGGGGAUAACAGUUGGAAACGACUGCUAAUACCGCAUAAGCGCACAGGAUCGCAUGAUCCGGUGUGAAAAACUCCGGUGGUAUGAGAUGGACCCGCGUCUGAUUAGCCAGUUGGCAGGGUAACGGCCUACCAAAGCGACGAUCAGUAGCCGACCUGAGAGGGUGACCGGCCACAUUGGGACUGAGACACGGCCCAAACUCCUACGGGAGGCAGCAGUGGGAAAUAUUGCACAAUGGGGGAAACCCUGAUGGUGCGACGCCGCGUGGGGGAAUGAAGGUCUUCGGAUUGUAAACCCCUGUUAUGUGGGAGCAAAUUAAAAAGAUAGUACCACAAGAGGAAGAGACGGCUAACUCUGUGCCAGCAGCCGCGGUAAUACAGAGGUCUCAAGCGUUGUUCGGAAUCACUGGGCGUAAAGCGUGCGUAGGCUGUUUCGUAAGUCGUGUGUGAAAGGCGCGGGCUCAACCCGCGGACGGCACAUGAUACUGCGAGACUAGAGUAAUGGAGGGGGAACCGGAAUUCUCGGUGUAGCAGUGAAAUGCGUAGAUAUCGAGAGGAACACUCGUGGCGAAGGCGGGUUCCUGGACAUUAACUGACGCUGAGGCACGAAGGCCAGGGGAGCGAAAGAGAUUAGAUACCCCUGUAGUCCUGGCAGUAAACGGUGCACGAUUGGUGUGCGGGGAAUAGACCCCCGGCGUAACCGGAAGCAAGCGCGUUGAAGGGUGCCGCCUGGGGGGUACGGUCGCAAGAUUAAGACUCAGAGAAAUUGACGGGGAUCCCGCACAAGCGGUGAGAGUAUGUGGCUUAAUUCGAUGCAAACGCGAAGAACCUUACAUGGGCUUGACAUGUAAUGACCAACAUGUGAGAGCAUGCGACUCUUCGGAGGCGUUACACAGAUAAUGCAUGGCCGUCGUCAGCUCGUGUCGUGAGAUGUUUGGUUAAGUCCAGCAACGAGCGCAACCCCUGUUCUUAGUAGCCAGCGGUUCGGCCGGGCACUCUAGGGAGACUGCCAGGGAUAACCUGGAGGAAGGCGGGGAUGACGUCAAAUCAUCAUGCCCCUUAUGACUUGGGCUACACACGUGCUACAAUGGCGUAAACAAAGGGAAGCGGAGCCGUGAGGCCGAGCAAAUCUCAAAAAUAACGUCUCAGUUCGGACUGUAGUCUGCAACCCGACUACACGAAGCUGGAAUCGCUAGUAAUCGCAGAUCAGAAUGCUGCGGUGAAUACGUUCCCGGGUCUUGCACUCACCGCCCGUCA